UACGGAGGGUGCAAGCGUUGUCCGGAUUUAUUGGGUUUAAAGGGUGCGUAGGCGGCCCUAUAAGUCAGUGGUGAAAUACUGCAGCUUAACUGUAGCAUUGCCAUUGAUACUGUAGGGCUUGAGUACAGAUGAGGUAGGCGGAAUUGAUGGUGUAUCGGUGAAAUGCAUAGAUACCAUCAAGAACACCGAUUGCGAAGGCAGCUUACUAAGCUGUAACUGACGCUGAGGCACGAAAGCGUGGGGAUCGAACAGG
rnacentral:rRNA from 1 species